GACUAUGUACAGAGAUAGAAGGGAAGCCCGCCCAGUUGUUUUGUGGAGACAGGGACCCAAUGCUCUGUGCUCCUAUGCCCCCCAGUGGGCCAAUAUCCAAAGACCUAGAGUGCAAGGGGCUACUGGCAACGAACAAUACUUAUGGACUGCCCGAAGAACAGUGGACCUUGGUGUGGGCCGGGAAACCCACUAGUUCAUGGUCAUCCCUGACUGCCCCUAUCCCUUGCUCAUGAGAAAAUUGCUCUCCAAAAUGGCUUGCGUGGGCUGAAAUGGCUGGGUGAGGCCAUGUGUAUGCAUAUCUACAGACUGUGUAUGUGGAGCUUAAGACCUGUCUCAAUGCACCAGUACCUG
rnacentral:lncRNA from 1 species